rnacentral:rRNA from 1 species
AUCCGUAGCCGGCCGUCUAAGUUUUCGGUUAAAUCUAUGCGCUUAACGUAUAGGCCGCCGAAAAUACUGGACAGCUAGGGAGUGGGAGAGGUACACGGUACUCAAUAGGAAGGGGUAAAAUCCUUUGAUCUAUUGAUGACCACCUGUGGCGAAGGCGGUGUACCAGAACACGUUCGACGGUGAGGGAUGAAAGCUGGGGGAGCAAACCGGAUUAGAUACCCGGGUAGUCCCAGCUGUAAACGAUGCAGACUCGGUGAUGCAUUGGCUUGUGGCCAAUGCAGUGCCGCAGGGAAGCCGUUAAGUCUGCCGCCUGGGAAGUACGUACGCAAGUAUGAAACUUAAAGGAAUUGGCGGGGGAGCACCACAAGGGGUGAAGCCUGCGGUUCAAUUGGAGUCAACGCCAGAAACCUUACCCGGGGCGACAGCAGAAUGAAGGUCAAGCUGAAGACUUUACCAGACAAGCUGAGAGGUGGUGCAUGGCCGUCGCCAGCUCGUGCCGUGAGAUGUCCUGUUAAGUCAGGUAACGAGCGAGACCCCUGCGUCUAGUUGCUACCAUUACUCUCUGGAGUAGUGGAGCGAAUUAGACGGACCGCCACAGUUAAUGUGGAGGAAGGAAGGGGCCACGGCAGGUCAGUAUGCCCCGAAACCCUGGGGCCACACGCGGGCUGCAAUGGUAUUGACAAUGUGUUCCGAAUCCGAAAGGAGGAGGCAAUCAUCAAACGAUACCUCAGUUAUGACUGAGGGCUGUAACUCGCCCUCACGAAUAUGGAA